rnacentral:rRNA from 1 species
GAUGAGCGCUGGCGGCGUGCUUAACACAUGCAAGUCGAACGGUGAACGAGGGAGCUUGCUCCCUCCGGAUCAGUGGCGAACGGGUGAGUAACACGUGAGCAACCUGCCCCUGACUCUGGGAUAAGCGCUGGAAACGGCGUCUAAUACUGGAUAUGUCCCGUCACCGCAUGGUGUGCGGGUGGAAAGAUUUUUCGGUUGGGGAUGGGCUCGCGGCCUAUCAGCUUGUUGGUGAGGUAAUGGCUCACCAAGGCGUCGACGGGUAGCCGGCCUGAGAGGGUGACCGGCCACACUGGGACUGAGACACGGCCCAGACUCCUACGGGAGGCAGCAGUGGGGAAUAUUGCACAAUGGGCGAAAGCCUGAUGCAGCAACGCCGCGCGAGGGAUGACGGCCUUCGGGUUGUAAACCUCUUUUAGCAGGGAAGAAGCGAAAGUGACGGUACCUGCAGAAAAAGCACCGGCUAACUACGUGCCAGCCGCCGCCGUAAAAC